GUUCCUCCACGUACCCCAUUCCCGAAACGACAUAACGUAGGGAAAUGUCGAUUAAAUCUACCUGAUCAUCCCAUCACGCUAACACACACCUGUUACAAAUCCAAUUACUCCUCCAUUAUACGCCUCUCCGAACACACGCAUCGGUUCCUGAUUAACAAAAAUCCAAGUAUAUCUUCCACAAAACGGAUUGCAAUUAUUAACCGACGAACACACAAUUUCCCAAAUUCUUCACCGCAAAUAUUCAGAAUACCAAGUCAAAUAAGAACGACAUCAUUCACCCUUAGGCCAUCAUCAUCUUCCCACUGUGUUCAUGAUUUCUAAAACCCAAACUUUGGGUUUUAAAACUGAUUCGACUAUGUCAUAGUUGUGAAGUUGAAGAGAAGUAAAGUGGUUGACUUUUUUCCUUUAUCUUAUAAUAAUGAUAAUAUAAUGAAAAUUGAUGAUAUAGUUGAAUCUCCUAUUUGGAAUGACAAUCUUCUGAGCUGAAUUUUUGUUAAUUUUUUGGUUAAAUCCAAUACACAAGAUGCUGAUGGCUGAUGUUCAUACAAAGCAAAAUUACUGAAGAAAAUAUUCAAUGGAUCAUGAUAGCAAGUAAAAUCUUGAUCAAUUCCGAAAAAAAAAAAAAUAGUAAUAACAUGCCCAAUAAAGAAAAUGUAAGAUGUAUGAAUUUUUUUGGUUUCUGUUGGCAUUUUUAUGUAACAUUGAUGACAACUUUUUAAUUAUUAAUUAAAGUGUUUUUGACCAGUAUAAUAA